rnacentral:rRNA from 1 species
GAUGAACGCUGGCGGCGUGCCUAAUACAUGCAAGUCGAGCGAACAGAUGAGGAGCUUGCUCCUCUUACGUUAGCGGCGGACGGGUGAGUAACACGUGGAUAACCUACCUAUAAGACUGGGAUAACUUCGGGAAACCGGAGCUAAUACCGGAUAAUAUAUUUAACCGCAUGGUUCAAUAGUGAAAGACGGUUUUGCUGUCCCUUAUAGAUGGAUCCGCUCCGCAUUAUCUAGUUGGUAAGUUAACGGCUUACCAAGGCAACGAUGCUUAGCCGACGUGAGAGGGUGAUCGGCCACACGGGAACUGAGACACGGACCAGACACCUACGGGAGGAAGCAGUAGGGAAUCUUCCGCAAAGGGCGAAAGCCUGACGGAGCAAAGCGGCGUGAGUGAAGAAGGUGUUCGGAUCGUAAAACUCGGUUAUUAGGGAAGAACAAAUGUGUAAGUAAAUAUGCACGUAGUGACGGUACCUAAUCAGAAAGCCACGGCUAACUACGUG